rnacentral:misc_RNA from 1 species
CAGGAAUGGUCGCGAGGAAGUGGCUCGUCUUAUCCGCGAGCGUAUAUUUUUUCUCGCGCGAAAAAUCCCAGCGCCGGUAAUGCUCGAAGCCGAGAUAAUUCACCAUCCCGGCGAGCACGAUGACGAUCGCGACCUGCACGAUCACGUUCAGCCCGAUCCGGAGCCGAUGGAUUUUAAGCGGCUGGUGCGGCGGCGGAGAAACGUCGUCGGCCAUGGGUUAGAGCCUCCACUUGCGCGACUGGAAGGCGUGAUAGGUAAAAGUUAGCAUCACCAUCGUGAGGCUGAGGUAGAGCACGAUCGG